rnacentral:snoRNA from 1 species
UUCAGCCUUGUCAAUCAGUACUUGCCUCUCCGUGGUGGGCACUGGCCCAGCCAGCUGCUCCAGGUAACACCACAGUUCAUGGAUGAAAUUGUGCUCCAGACAGGG